rnacentral:rRNA from 2 species
AAAUUGAAGAGUUUGAUCAUGGCUCAGAUUGAACGCUGGCGGCAGGCCUAACACAUGCAAGUCGAACGGUAACAGAAAGCAGCUUGCUGCUUUGCUGACGAGUGGCGGACGGGUGAGUAAUGUCUGGGAAACUGCCUGAUGGAGGGGGAUAACUACUGGAAACGGUAGCUAAUACCGCAUAACGUCGCAAGACCAAAGAGGGGGACCUUAGGGCCUCUUGCCAUCGGAUGUGCCCAGAUGGGAUUAGCUAGUAGGUGGGGUAA